rnacentral:tRNA from 1 species
GGUUGUAGCUCAGUGGUAGAGUACUUACCUAGUACUUGUGAGGCACUGGGUUCAAUUCUCAGCACCA